UUUUUUUCCUAAUUUUAAAAAUUUUUGUAGAGAUGUGGUCUCGCCUAGGCUGGCCUCAGACUCCUAGGCUCAGACGAUCCUCCCACCUCAGCCUCCCACAGCAGUGGUAUUACAGUUGUGAGCCACUGUGCUUGGCUCAGUAUUCUUGAUGAAACAAUUUACCAAAUGAUAAAGGCUUGAUUCUGUGUUUCUCAGGUUAGUCUUGCAAGAGGGAACGUGCAAGGCAAGAUAGGCUAAAACUGAGUUUGUGGAUGAUUUACCAUUUACACUUAUUUCUUCAAGGUUCUUACCAUAUUGCCUUCUGAAUAAAAUGUUCACUUUCCAAAAGAGCGUGGUGGUGAAGACCAGGUCUGAUUUGGGCUGGUGCUCACUCAGCAUCAGUGGUCCCUGUCUUGGAGAGCCGGGCUUCCCCAGAUUCUGAGCUCUCUGUGUGUCUCUGUCCUUUCACCUCUCACAGUGCUGUUCUGGACCCCAGAUGAGCCUCCAGAAGACUUGAAACGCACAGAGGGUGACUCUGCAUGGCCCAGAGUAGGUUGGGACACACCAUACACGUACCUGAGUUAAUUUCCCCCAUAUAGAUAAGAAACUGCUGAACGCCAGCCCCGAAAUAAACAACAGAGCCUGCCUGUUAGAUGCUUACAUUUGAACUCAGAAGGGCAGCCAGAAGGGGUCCCCACAAGCCCAGGACAGCAGCGUGUGACUGCUGGCUGCCCUCUCUAGAGAUAGAUGGUGUCCAUCUGCAGUUGACCUUUACACUGGGCGCGAAGCACGUGUCUGUUUUGACAGAACAGCUGAGAAUAAUUAUUCUCUCUCCCUCUCCCUCCCUCCCUUCCUCUCAGUCUUGGUGGAGAGUGGGAUGCAACACAGUCUCUUCAAGUGAGAGGCAGUAAUAGGCAGAUGGUUUGAACUACAGUUAGCCAUAUUCACUUGCAGAUUCAGAAUUAUUGAUGAUAAAAGCUAAACUAUGAGGCAUGUUCCAUCUGUUUAUUUUCCAAUUUUCAUUUGUUGCAGCCCUGUUAAUAUUACUGGGAUUUUCUUCUCUCUCCAGAAGCGCUGCCAUAAGGGCAUCUACCUAGAGACAUCUGUCCCUCUCGCUCCAGACGCAUCACCCUCGCUACUGCUGUUCAGGCUCUGCUCUCUUGCUCCUGGCCACCCCCUUGCCCUGCUCUUCCUCUCUUCUCCUCUCAAUCUAGGGAAGUCUUCAGCCUUCUCUUAUGAUCCUGAUUGGCUCCUGCACCUUUAAUGUCAGUCCCAGGGGAGAAAAAGACACCCCAGGGAUUGUGCUUGGCUCAGCCUGCACCUGGGACCAUGUGGCUCCCCGUGUUCCAGUGCUCUGUGCCUGAGAUGAUCUCAAACCAGGUACAAACCAGGAGGAGGCACCAUGUUCAAGGCCAGUGCCUGGUCUUGGAGCAUGACUUCUACUCGGAGCCUGGAAAGAAGGGGGGCGGGUAAUUAACCUGAUAAGGAACUAAGACAUUACUGAUAUGGAAACAAGCACAAAUAUGUUAUGAAAGGCAAGUGCCACUUUGGUCCCUAUCCCAGCCUGCCAGGAUUGUGGUCCCUA
rnacentral:lncRNA from 1 species